AUGGUCUCCCCCGGCAAACGAAUUCCUGAAAGAGCAGGAAAGCUGGAAUAUGUAUCAAGUGCUCUCCAUGCUGAAGCUUUAGCCAUGGUGUAUGCAAUCAAUGCAACGUCAAGCAUGGGAGCCAAUCGUGUAAUUUUUGAAAUGGACUCGACGGAGUUGAAGCAGUCUAUAACAAGUCAGGAGUAUGAUAGAUCAGCUCUAGGUUCUUUGUUUCAGGAGAUUAAACUCCAACUUAAUGUAGCUUUUGAUGAUGUUAAGCUGAAUGUAUGUCCUAGAGCAUGUAAUAAUGCAGCACACACUAUAGCUGCAUAUGGUCAUGGUCUAGGGAGUGGCGUAUGUGAGACAUGGUUAGGCCACUUCCCUGUGUUUGUACUGAACUCUGUUGCUGGCAAUUUAGCCAGUUUGUCAUCGUAA
rnacentral:rRNA from 1 species